UGACCUCGGAUCAGGUAGGGAUACCCGCUGAACUUAAGCAUAUCAAUAAACAGAGGAA
rnacentral:rRNA from 1 species